rfam:Trametes pubescens strain FBCC735 TRAPTBscaffold_1417, whole genome shotgun sequence.
GGCCGGCUGGCCUAAUGGUUAAGGCGUCAGUUUCCGAGUUAAUCAGUCAGCUGGAGAUUCCGGGUUCGACUCCCGGGUUGGUCG